rnacentral:rRNA from 1 species
ACAGGGAUUGCCUUAGUAACGGCGAGUGAAGCGGCAACAGCUCAAAUUUGAAAGCUGGCUCCUUCGGAGUCCGCGUUGUAAUUUGUAGAGGAUGAUUCGGCGAGGGCUCCCGCCUAAGUCCCCUGGAACGGGGCGUCAUAGAGGGUGAGAAUCCCGUAUGCGGUGGGUUGCCUUAGCCAUGUGAAUCUCCUUCGACGAGUCGAGUUGUUUGGGAAUGCAGCUCUAAAUGGGAGGUAAAUUUCUUCUAAAGCUAAAUACCGGCCAGAGACCGAUAGCGCACAAGUAGAGUGAUCGAAAGAUGAAAAGCACUUUGGAAAGAGAGUUAAAAAGUACGUGAAAUUGUUGAAAGGGAAGCGCUUGCAGCCAGACUUGUCCGCAGUUGCUCAACCGGUCUCCUGACCGGUGUACUCUUCUGCGGCCAGGCCAGCAUCAGUUCGGGCGGUCGGAUAAAGGCCCUGGGAAUGUAGCUCCUCUCGGGGAGUGUUAUAGCCCAGGGUGGAAUGCGGCCAGCCUGGACUGAGGAUCUCGCUUCGGCUAGGAUGCUGGCGUAAUGGCUGUAAGCGGCCCGUCUUGAAACACGGACCAAGGAGUCUAACAUCUAUGCGAGUGUUUGGGUGUCAAACCCAUGCGCGUAAUGAAAGUGAACGGAGGUGGGAACCCUCACGGGUGCACCAUCGACCGAUCCUGAUGUCUUCGGAUGGAUUUGAGUAAGAGCAUAGCUGUUGGGACCCGAAAGAUGGUGAACUAUGCCUGAAUAGGGUGAAGCCAGAGGAAACUCUGGUGGAGGCUCGCAGCGGUUCUGACGUGCAAAUCGAUCGUCAAAUUUGGGUAUAGGGGCGAAA